rnacentral:lncRNA from 1 species
AGGGCAGGGCCCCACUCCUUCUUCUUCUCUGCCAUCUCUCUCUCGCAUCCUCCUCGUCGUGGUCGUCGUCGUCGCCUUGCGUCUCUCGCGAUGCACGCUUCUGGGUGUUGCUUGCAUUGCAUAGCAUUGCCUUAGCUUUGCUUUGGAUUGGGAAGGCUUUGGUGGUGCUGCUUCUGCUGUGCAGUGCAAGACACACAGGAAGUAUAGUACAUGAGGAGGAGAGGAGAGGGGAGAGGGUCCCUUUUGUUGCAAACCAUCCCUCGUUCUUCAAUCAACACUACGUCAUUUCCAAUUCCUAUUGACCAUUCUGUAAGUUAAUUUGGUUCUUUGCUUGACAAGAGUUGAUAAGAGGGGUAGUGCUUGACAAUGUGAUGCAUUUGGUUUUUCUUUUUCCUUCUGUGUUUGAUGGUGUUUUUGGUAGUUGAAAGACAAUUUAAUGU